GAUGAACGCUGGCGGCGUACCUAAUACAUGCAAGUCGAGCGAACAGACGAGGAGCUUGCUCCUCUGACGUUAGCGGCGGACGGGUGAGUAACACGUGGAUAACCUACCUAUAAGACUGGGAUAACUUCGGGAAACCGGAGCUAAUACCGGAUAAUAUAUUGAACCGCAUGGUUCAAUAGUGAAAGACGGUUUUGCUGUCACUUAUAGAUGGAUCCGCGCCGCAUUAGCUAGUUGGUAAGGUAACGUCUUACCAAGGCGACGAUGCGUAGCCGACCUGAGAGGGUGAUCGGCCACACUGGAACUGAGACACGGUCCAGACUCCUACGGGAGGCAGCAGUAGGGAAUCUUCCGCAAUGGGCGAAAGCCUGACGGAGCAACGCCGCGUGAGUGAUGAAGGUCUUCGGAUCGUAAAACUCUGUUAUUAGGGAAGAACAAAUGUGUAAGUAACUAUGCACGUCUUGACGGUACCUAAUCAGAAAGCCACGGCUAACUACGUG
rnacentral:rRNA from 1 species